rnacentral:rRNA from 1 species
CCUUGACGCUGCGGCCCGACAGCCUUGGGAGCAAACGCGGAUUAGAUACCCGGGUAGGCCACGCCGUAAACGAUGCCAGCUCGGCGUGUGGCGCACGGUCGUGUGCUGCGUACCUUAGCUCACGCGAUAAGCUGGCCGCCUGGGGACUACGAGCGCAAGCUUAAAACUCAAAGUAAUUGACGGGGGCCCGCACAAGCAGCGGAGCGUGUGGUUUAAUUCGACGCAACACGAAGAACCUUACCUGGACUUGACAUGACGCUGCCAUCCCGCCGAAAGACGGCCGCCUACGAGGGUGCGUCACAGGUGCUGCAUGGCUGUCGUCACGCUCGUGUCGUGAGAUGUUGGGUUCAGUCCCGCAACGAGCGCAACCCGCGUCGGUAGUUAUAGGUGUCUACCGAGACUUGCCCGUGACCGGCGGAGGAAGGCGCGGAUGACGUCAAGUCAGCAUGGCCCUUACGUCCAGGGCGACACACACGCUACAAUGGCCACGACAAUGCGUUGCCAAGCCGCAAGGCGGAGCUAAUCGCCUAAACGUGGUCUCAGUGCAGAUCGGGGGCUGCAACUCGCCCCCGUGAAGGCGGAGUUGCUAGUAACCGCGUAAGGGCG